UACGUAGGGGGCUAGCGUUGUCCGGAAUCAUUGGGCGUAAAGAGCGUGUGGGCGGCCCGGUAAGUCCGCUGUAAAAGUCAAAGGCUCAACCUUUGAAUGUCAGUGGAUACUGCCGGGCUAGAGUCCGGAAGAGGCGAGUGGAACUCCUGGUGUAGCGGUGGAAUGCGCAGAUAUCAGGAAAAACACCAACGGCGAAGGCAGCUCGCUGGGACGGUACUGACGCUGAGACGCGAAAGCGUGGGGAGCGAACAGG
rnacentral:rRNA from 1 species